GAUGAACGCUAGCUACAGGCUUAACACAUGCAAGUCGAGGGACCGGCGCACGGGUGAGUAACACGUAUCCAACCUGCCCUUUACUCGGGGAUAGCCUUUCGAAAGAAAGAUUAAUACCCGAUGUAAAGGAUGGGGAUGCGUUCCAUUAGGUUGUUGGUGAGGGAACGGCUAACCAAGCCUUCGAUGGAUAGGGGUUCUGAGAGCAAGGUCCCCCACAUUGGAACUGAGACACGGGCCAAACUCCUACGGGGGGCAGCAGUGAGGAAUAUUGGUGAAGGGGCGUUAGCCUGACCCAGCCACGUAGCGUGAAGGAUGAAGGCUUAUGGGUCUUAAACUUCUUUUAUAUAAGAAUAGGUAUUAGAUGAAUAAGGAUCGGCUAACUCCGUGCCAGCCGCCGCGGUAAUUC
rnacentral:rRNA from 1 species